CGAUUACUGGCUCAGAACGAACGCUGGCGGCAUGCCUAACACAUGCAAGUCGAACGAUGGCUUCGGCCAUAGUGGCGCACGGGUGAGUAACGCGUGGGAAACUGCCCAUCAGUGGGGAAUAACAGUGGGAAACUGCUGCUAAUACCGCAUACGCCCUUCGGGGGAAAGAUUUAUCGCUGAUGGAUGUGCCCGCGUCCGAUUAGGUAGUUGGUGGGGUAAAGGCCUACCAAGCCGACGAUCGGUAGCUGGUCUGAGAGGAUGAUCAGCCACACUGGGACUGAGACACGGCCCAGACUCCUACGGGAGGCAGCAGUGGGGAAUAUUGGACAACGGGCGAAAGCCUGAAUCCAGCAAUGCCGCGUGAAUGAUGAAGGCCUUAGGGUUGUAAAGUUCUUUCGGGUGGGACGAUGAUGACGGUACCACCAGAAGAAGCCCCGGCUAACUUCGUGCCAGCCGCAGC
rnacentral:rRNA from 1 species